CUUUGCUGGAAAACAACGUUGAUAGCUUCAUCUUGUUGCAUUUGUUUCAUAUCGGUGUCUUCUGAACUUUUGCCAAGAAAGGCCUUUGGCAAUUUGCCUAAUUGGACCAAGCCAUGACACUUGGCAGAAGAAGGAACGGGAGGAAGACAUGGGGAAAUAGCAGAAGAAUAAAGCCUUUAGAAAGCUGGUUAAAGGCAGUCACAUUUGGAUCAGAAUUUGGAUGCUUGGCAACUGACUCAUAUUUAUGAUGGUUGCAGUGGCCCAGGAUCACGUGAUUUUGCAACCAUCUGACAAGCGAAGCCAACGGGGGAUGCCAGAUUCAUUUUACAACCAUCUUACUCACUUAACAGGCACAGUGAUUCGCUCAACAACUGCGGCAAGAAAGCUGGUAAAAUGGGAGAAAACUCACUUAACAACUGUCUCACUUAGCAACCUAAAUUUUCUGCUCGAUAGUGAUCAUAAAUUGAGGACAACGUGCAAUCAAAGCAACUGCAAAAUUAAGGAGAUUAGGUAAGAUCAUCGGUCUACUGAAAUGAUUAGAAGGUCUUAUCUUUCCGGAAUUUACCUGGGAGUAAAUCUCAUUGAAUCCCUAUGCUGUAAUUUAUCAUGGAAAAGCUUUACUCAGAAAUGAAAAGUGCCUCCCAUCGUCUGCUGUACAAGCUCUCUUCUCCCAGCCAGGACUUCCUAAUACAACAUUCAGAUGAUGGAUGACCCACACAUCUUCGGAGGGAGAAUAGCCAUUGAAAGCCGACUCUGCACAUUUGGACAUGCAUAGCAGCUGAGAAACACAUGCUUUGAGCAAGCAACCAGCAUUUGGAUGACAUUUAACCUUUCCACGAUCUAUUGCUUUCCCUUUGCUGCAAUUAUUAUCUCCUCCCAGAGAAUGUGUGGGUUUCUGGA